rnacentral:rRNA from 1 species
UACGUAGGGUGCAAGCGUUGUCCGGAAUUAUUGGGCGUAAAGAGCUCGUAGGCGGUCUGUCACGUCGGCUGUGAAAACCCGGGGCUUAACCCCGGGUCGCAGUGGAUACGGGCAGGCUAGAGGUAGGUAGGGGAGAAUGGAAUUCCCGGUGUAGCGGUGAAAUGCGCAGAUAUCGGGAGGAACACCGGCGGCGAAGGCGGUUCUCUGGGCCUUACCUGACGCUGAGGAGCGAAAGCGUGGGGAGCGAACAGG